rnacentral:lncRNA from 1 species
CCAUUCUUAUCUGUGUAGGAUCAGCAAUAUACUAAUCUAUAUAUUGGGGUAGAUUCAAAGACGACAAAAACCAGUGGCAAACCCAUCCAGCUGUCCAGCAAUCUGAUUUCAUCAAUCCUAUAAAUGUUAUGCACAUGCAGACAUGCUGCUAUAGACCCACCCACCUUGUCUUCCUACUUUAAUCCUGGUUCCACCACAAAGCCUCAAGGACUCCAUACGCAUGCAUUCUUGCUAAGCCACAUAAACCCAACACAAAUGGGAUUUUAAACACAAACCCUAAAUCACCAAGAAACACAAAGUAGCAUCUUGCAAAACCUGAAAUAACCCGCUUAUUUGCGGGACCCCACACUCUCGAGAAUGACUUACAUGGGACGUGUUCAUUGCCACCAUAGCGUCUCGUUACAAUAAAACAAUGUCAUGUGUAAAUUUCUCAAUAAUGUGGCAUUGAAUUACUGGAUCAGGAUGCCACAUGACAAUGAACCCAUCCCAUGUAAGUUUCAGCGCUCUCCAAUUGGGUGGGAUUCAUUCCAAUAAAACAAUGUCAUGAGUAAGUUUCUCAAUAAAUGGUAAUGGUGUUGCAUUAUUGGAUCACGACGCCAUGCGGCAGUAAACUUGCUUAAUGUAAGUUAAAGCCCACCCUCUCGCGUUGAGUGGGAUCCGUGUGAGCGCGAGUGAGACUAAAAUACAGGGUUUCAUGUUUUCUUGAGAAACCGACUGAGAAUGACCCCGUCGGUCACCCCUACCAAGUUUAUCUCCUCAUCACAUUAACUCUUUCGGUAAACAAUAGACAUCCCAAUAAAACUUAAGCAUAAA